rnacentral:rRNA from 1 species
UGAUCAAACAGGAUUAGAUACCCUGGUAGUCCACACUGUAAACGAUGAUAACUCGCUGCCGGCGAUACAUUGUUGGUGGCCAAGCGAAAGCAUUAAGUUAUCCACCUGGGGAGUACGACCGCAAGGUUGAAACUCAAAGGAAUUGACGGGGGCCCGCACAAGCGGAGGAACAUGUGGUUUAAUUCGAUGAUACGCGAGGAACCUUACCCGGGCUCGAACGGUGCAUGAAUAUAUGAGAGAUUGUAUAGUCUUCGGACAUGCAUCGAGGUGCUGCAUGGUUGUCGUCAGCUCGUGCCGUGAGGUGUCGGCUUAAGUGCCAUAACGAGCGCAACCCUUGUCAUUAGUUGCCAUCAGGUUAAGCUGGGGACUUUAAUGAGACUGCCACCGUAAGGUGUGAGGAAGGUGGGGAUGACGUCAAAUCAGCACGGCCCUUAUGUCCGGGGCGACACACGUGUUACAAUGGGAGGUACAGAGGGCAGCCAUCCGGCGACGGAGCGCUAAUCUCGAAAACCUUUCUCAGUUCGGAUUGGAGUCUGCAACUCGACUCCAUGAAGGUGGAUUCGCUAGUAAUCGCGCAUCAGCCAUGGCGCGGUGAAUACGUUCCCGGGCCUUGUACACACCGCCCGUCAAGCCAUGGAAGCUUGGGGUGCCUGAAGUUCGUGACCGCAAGGAGCGACCUAGGGCAAAACAGGUAACUGGGGCUAAGUCGUAACAAGGUAGCA